rnacentral:rRNA from 1 species
AUUGAACGCUGGCGGCAUGCCUUACACAUGCAAGUCGAACGGCAGCACGGGAGCAGUCCUGGUGGCGAGUGGCGAACGGGUGAGUAAUGUAUCGGAACGUGCCUAGUUGUGGGGGAUAACGUAGAGAAAUUUACGCUAAUACCGCAUACGAUCUAUGGAUGAAAGCGGGGGAUCGCAAGACCUCGCGCAGUUAGAGCGGCCGAUAUCAGAUUAGGUUGUUGGUGGGGUAAAAGCUCACCAAGCCGACGAUCUGUAGCUGGUUUGAGAGAACGACCAGCCACACUGGGAAUGAGACACGGCCCAGACUCCUACGGGAGGCAGCAGUGGGGAAUUUUGGACAAUGGGGGCAACCCUGAUCCAGCAAUGCCGCGUGCAGGAAGAAGGCCUUCGGGUUGUAAACUGCUUUUGUACGGAACGAAAUGGUCCUUUCUAAUACAGAGGGCUAAUGACGGUACCGUAAGAAUAAGCACCGGCUAACUACGUGCCAGCAGCCGCGGUAA